CCAUCCCAGUUCGGAUUGCAGUCUGAAACUCGAGUGCAUGAAGCUGGAAUCGCUAGUAAUCGCAAAUCAGAAUGUUGCGGUGAAUACGUUCCCGGGUCUUGUACACACCGCCCGUCACACCAUGGGAGUUGGAAAUGCCCGAAGUCAGUGACCCAACCAAAAGGAGGGAGCUGCCGAAGGCAGGUUCGAUGACUGGGGUGAAGUCGUAACAAGGUACC
rnacentral:rRNA from 1 species